rnacentral:misc_RNA from 1 species
CUUCCUUGAGUAUUAAUUGCUUGUUGAUGCAGGCAGGGAGUUCUUCCUGGUAAUGGGUGACAUAGAUCAGGGUGGUGCCGGCACGGGUGCAUACGGCAUCGAUCAGGGCGCGGAUACGCUGCACCUGCAGGUCGUCCAUACCCUGGCAGGGUUCGUCCAGCACGAGCAGGGGCGGAUUUUUGAUCAGCGCCCUGGCCAGCAGGGUAAGCCGCUGUAUGCCGGAGGACGCACGGACAAAGCGUUCGUCCCUGUGGGCGGCGAUGCCGAGCAGGUCCAUCCAUUGCGCUCCCCGGGUUACCUGUCCGGGGGUACAUUUCCGGAUCAGCCC